GCUGAAUUCUGUGGGGUAAACACUGCACCUGGUCCCCGCUCGUCCCGCUGACCUGGACGCUGGGCCAUCAAGCAUGUGAUGUGGGCCGACAACGACAGCCGCUGGCUGCUGGCAGGCGACGGACCGGCUAGUAGUGGUGCAACUGCAGACACCGGGGACAGC
rnacentral:snRNA from 11 species